CAUUCAUCAGGCAGAGCAGAGAAAUGCAUCAGGAGGAUGAGUAAGCUGGGCCGGGCCAGAGAAUAAUGAAACCCUGAUGGCCGUGAGCUGAAGCAUGUUACAGUGUAUGAAGGGUCAACAUCUGGUUGAGUAGCUAUUGAUACUGAACUUUAAGCUGCGGGAACAAUCAUUAAGGAGGUACAGCAGGCUGAGAAGAUAAGACCUAAAGUACAAAGUAGUAUGGGAUAACGGGGAGAUGAAGAAACUAGGCUGUCUACUGUGCAGAUGGUGAAAUUACCUAAGAGGAUGUCUCAACCAGGGUUAGAAUGGAAGACUGAGCCAGCUGCGAGCUUCCUCUUCUGCAGUGAAAUGAAGGCUGAGGCAGAGGAUGCAGUGAAGGAAUGAACGGUCUGUUGAUAGGUGAGUCAAAGUUGCUGUACUUGGAUGGCAAAAGGGUAAAUGAAACAUACACACACAUACACACACAC